AGCGAACGCUGGCGGCAGGCUUAACACAUGCAAGUCGAACGAACCCUUCGGGGUUAGUGGCCGACGGGUGAGUAACACGUGGGAACGUGCCUUUAGGUUCGGAAUAACUCAGGGCAACUUGUGCUAAUACCGAAUGUGCCCUUCGGGGGAAAGAUUUAUCGCCUUUAGAGCGGCCCGCGUCUGAUUAGCUAGUUGGUGAGGUAAUGGCUCACCAAGGCUACGAUCAGUAGCUGGUCUGAGAGGAUGACCAGCCACAUUGGGACUGAGACACGGCCCAAACUCCUACGGGAGGCAGCAGCGGGGAAUCUUGCGCAAUGGGCGAAAGCCUGACGCAGCCAUGCCGCGUGGAUGAUGAAGGUCUUAGGAUUGUACAAUCCUUUCACCGGUGAAGAUAAUGACUGCAGCCGGAGAAGAAGCCCCGGCUAACUUCGUGCCAGCAGCCGCAGUAAGAC
rnacentral:rRNA from 1 species